rnacentral:sRNA from 1 species
GUCCAAAGUCAAAAGACCGAUUGGAUUAGACACCGCGCUGCAACGAGGUUGGGUGUGCAAUACGGUGAGGUGGAAGGUUGAACUAGACAUCCCGCAGAGCCCUCGCAUGUGACCUCCACUUCACAACCACCAGCGAAGAUAUCCCGGCCAUCAAUUUGCCAAAAGUGCUCAAAGCCAACGCUUCGGGAGUUCUUUAAAGUGAGAUCUGUGCCCCUCUCAGGGAUCUUCUUGCCACCAAGUGCAAUGCGGGUCGCCUCAUAAGCUUUACGCCUGCGUUGUAGCAUCCUAAAAUUUUAGUGAACAUUUUACAUAGACUAUAUACCGAUAGAAUCGAUGCGGACUCGGAAAUGUACUUGGACCAUUCUUUGACGCUGAUUUGAAUUUCUGAUGUGGAGUAGGCCAACUAGAACUCUACCUUUAUGGUGGUGCGGAAAAGUGUUUAUUACACUUCCAAGCAUAACCAUAUAAAUAAAUAGAUUGUUGUCUACCAAAAAAUCUA